UGGCGUCGCUACAGUGUAUUUGAUUACAUUUCAUCUACAUCAACUCCGAUAUGUAUACGAAAAUCUUUCGAACCAUAAGGAAUUGUGUAAAGAAUUAUCAGGAAAGUUGUACGAACAUUUCAAGCGAAUUUAAACAUAUAUCGUCUGUUUUGAAACUAGAAUUUCUAUAAUUAGCGUGGUCGAAAAUAAUCGACUAAUACGAAUUAAUGUACUAUGAACCGUUUGGAUGAUCCUCCAAGUCUCAUGAAAGGCAGAAAACCAUCUUUUAUUGGAAUGAACGGAGGCCCAGAAACAGACGAUCAACAACGCUUAAGAUUUCAAGUUGAAUUAGAGUUUGUUCAGUGUCUUGCAAAUCCAAAUUACUUAAAUUUUUUAGCACAACGUGGAUACUUUAAGGAUUCUACAUUUAUAAAUUAUCUUAAAUAUCUGUUAUAUUGGAAGGAACCAGAAUAUGCAAAGUAUCUGAAAUAUCCUAUGUGCUUGUACUUCUUAGAUUUAUUACAAUAUGAACACUUUAGGAGAGAAGUAGUAAACUCUCAGUGUACAAAGUUUAUAGAUGAUCAGCAAAUUUUAUUGUGGCAACAUUAUACCAGACGUAGGACAAGACUGUUACAAACUGCAGCAGAGCAAACGCAACAUGCAAAUCCUCAGAAUAAUGAAUCUGAUUUUGGACAAAUGAUGCUGAAACAUGAAUAGCUGUUCAUACAUAUUUAUAUCACUGUUUGUGCUUCAAGACUGGAAAAAGAGGGAAAUUAUCAAGGACAAGGAUAGAAAAUGCGAAUUUUAAUGAUUUUUAAGGACAGUGAUGGCAGUGGGAACCGAGACAGCUAAUUGUAAGAUUCUCCAAUCGGGUAUAACAUAACUGAGCGCAGCCAGAAGUAUCAAACCAAUGGCCCAUGCAAUUUGCAUAACCAGUGCAACGAACG